GGCUGAAAUUCGCCUUCAUGAAGCCGGAAUUGCUAGUAAUGGCAGGUCAGCAUACUGCCGUGAAUACGUUCCCGGGCCUUGUACACACCGCCCGUCACACCAUGAGAGUUGGGAAUACCCGAAGCCUGUGAGCUAACUUAUAGAGGCAGCAGUCGAAGGUAGAAUCAAUGAUUGGGGUGAAGUCGUAACAAGGUAGC
rnacentral:rRNA from 1 species